rfam:Schistosoma haematobium scaffold983_8, whole genome shotgun sequence.
GUACUGCUGACGAGUCCCAUACUAGGACGAAACGGCCGUCCAGUAC